rnacentral:rRNA from 1 species
GAUGAACGCUGGCGGCGUGCUUAACACAUGCAAGUCGAGCGGGCAAUUUAUCUAGCACUGAUUACUUCAAAUGGAAAUCAUAAGUGUAAUCAUGAAUUUCUACCUUUAAUAAAGAAAAAAGAAAUUCAUGUACGCAAAUAGUGAUAACACAUUUUAGUGAAGUGAUGAGUGCUGGAUAAAUUGCUAGCGGCGGACGGGUGCGUAACACGUGGGUAACCUGCCCCUAUCACUGGGAUAACACACUGAAAAGUGUGCUAAUACCAGAUAACAUAAGCUUUUGGCAUCAUUAGCUUAUCAAAGAAUUUCGGAUAGGGAUGGGCCCGCGUCUGAUUAGCUAGUUGGUGAGGUAACGGCUCACCAAGGCAACGAUCAGUAGCCGACCUGAGAGGGUGAUCGGCCACACUGGAACUGAGACACGGUCCAGACUCCUACGGGAGGCAGCAGUAGGG